rnacentral:piRNA from 6 species
GGAUAGCUCAGUCGGUAGAGCAUCAGACU